rnacentral:rRNA from 1 species
GAUGAACGCUAGCUACAGGCUUAACACAUGCAAGUCGAGGGGAAACGGCAUUGAGUGCUUGCACUCUUUGGACGCCGACCGGCGCACGGGAGAGUAACGCGUAUCCAACCUCCUCAUUACUGCGGGAUAACCCGCCGAAUGGCAGACUAAUACCGCACAGUCUUCGAUGACGGCAUCAGAUUUGUAGUAAAGUUUUGUCGGUAGUGGAUGGACAUGCGGCUGAUUAGCGUGUUGGCGGAGUACCGGCCUACCAAGGCUACGAAGGGUAGGGGUCCUGAGAGGGUGACCGGCGACAGUGGCCAAGAGAUACGGGCAAGACGCCUAGGGGAGGCAGGAGUGGGGAACAUUGCACAAAGCCCGGAAGCCUGAUGCAGCAACGCCGCGUGCGGGAUGAUGAACUUCGUUUUGUAAAGGGUUUUCGUCUGUGACGAAGCCUGAGUGACGGUAAUGAGUAAAGAAGCACCGGCUAACUACGUG